rnacentral:rRNA from 1 species
GUAACGGAGGGGGAGCUAGCGUUGUUCGGAAUUACUGGGCGUAAAGCGCGCGUAGGCGGACCUGCAAGUCGGGUGUGAAAGCCCUCAGCUCAACUGAGGAAGUGCGCCCGAAACUGCAGAGCUUGAGUGCCGGAGAGGGUGGCGGAAUUCCCCAAGUAGAGGUGAAAUUCGUAGAUAUGGGGAGGAACACCGGGUGGGCGAAAGGCGGGCCGCCCUAGGGACGGGUC